UUGGAGGGCAAGUCUGGUGCCAGCAGCCGCGGUAAUUCCAGCUCCAAUAGCGUAUAUUAAAGUUGUUGCAGUUAAAAAGCUCGUAGUUGAAUUUCGGGAUCAAGGAAUCGGUCAUGCCUUGGUAUGUACUGGUUUUAUUGGUUCUCACCUUCUAAAGAACCAUAAUGUCAUUUAUUUGAUGUUAUGGGGAAUUAGGACUGUUACCUUGAAAAAAUUAGAGUGUUUAAAGCAAGCUUACGCUUGAAUACAUUAGCAUGGAAUAAUGAAAUAGGACAUCAGAUUCUAUUUUGUUGGUUUCUAGGAUCGAUGUAAUGAUUAAUAGGGAUAGUUGGGGGCAUUAGUAUUCAAUUGUCAGAGGUGAAAUUCUUGGAUUUAUUGAAGACUAACUACUGCGAAAGCAUUUGCCAAGGAUGUUUUCAUUAAUCAAGAACGAAAGUUAGGGGAUCGAAGACGAUCAGAUACCGUCGUAGUCUUAACCAUAAACUAUGCCGACUAGGGAUCGGAUGAUGUUAAUUUUUUAAUGGCUCAUUCGGCACCUUACGGGAAACCAAAGUGUUUGGGUUC
rnacentral:rRNA from 1 species